AACCAAACUCUCAUUAGAAAGACUCUUAUGGAACAUAUCAAUCAUACCUUACAACACAUCGGAAUUAAAGACAAAAAUAUCACUCUAAACAAUGUUUUGAAGGAUGAAUCUCCUACUGAGCUCGUUACUACUUAUCAGAAAGGUAGAUAGGAAAUCCUGAUGAAGAGUGUGUCCAAGGGAUUAUCAAUUAGGUCUUAGAUUACAAAAUAGUAAUUCAGGUAUGCUCUACUGUUUUCAACACUAGUUCUGCAAUUUGUUUUCGAGCUUGCUUAGCUUCUCUUAUUGGAAAAAUAACAUACGCAUGAAUCAUUUUUUCUGCAAUAAUCAGCUGAUUAGCAAUUCGUUGUCUUGUUAAUUGAUCAUGUAAAGACAUAAUGUCUGGGUAAAAAAUCUCUUUUGUCCCAACAAAGGUCGUUAUUUCAGGCAAAUCCUCAUAAUCACCAUACAAAGGACUGACAUAAGGAAGUUGCAUAUUACCUUGACCACCUGCCCAUAGUU
rnacentral:antisense_RNA from 1 species